GUUGUGGCUCAGUGGCAGAGCACUUGCCUAGCAUGUGUGAGGCACUGGGUUCGAUUCUCAGCAAC
rnacentral:tRNA from 1 species